GGCCUUGUAGUUCAGCUGGUAGAGCCUGCGCUGUACAAAAGCGUAGGCGGCGUACAUGUUUGGGUUCGAAUCCCACCGAAGCUA
rnacentral:tRNA from 1 species